rnacentral:rRNA from 1 species
UACGAAGGGGGCUAGCGUUGCUCGGAAUCACUGGGCGUAAAGCGCACGUAGGCGGGUCUUUAAGUCAGGGGUGAAAUCCUGGAGCUCAACUCCAGAACUGCCUUUGAUACUGAAGAUCUCGAGUCCGGAAGAGGUGAGUGGAACUCCGAGUGUAGAGGUGAAAUUCGUAGAUAUUCGCAAGAACACCAGUGGCGAAGGCGGCUCACUGGCCCGAUACUGACGCUGAGGCACGAAAGCGUGGGGAGCAAACAGG